UACGUGAGGGGGCUAGCGUUGUCCGGAAUCAUUGGGCGUAAAGCGCACGUAGGCGGAUUGCUAAGUCAGGGGUGAAAUCCUGGGAAGCUCAACUCCAGAACUGCCCUUGAUACUGGCCGGUCUCGAGUCCGGGAGAGGUGAGUGGAACUGCGAGUGGUAGAGGUGAAAUUCGUAGAUAUUCGCAAGAACACCAGUGGCGAAGGCGGACUCACUGGCC
rnacentral:rRNA from 1 species